rnacentral:rRNA from 1 species
AUUGAACGCUGGCGGCAGGCCUAACACAUGCAAGUCGAACGAGAGGCGGACGGGUGAGUUAUGUCUGGGAAACUGCCUGAUGGAGGGGGCAAACUACUGGAAACGGUAGCUAAUACCGCUUACCCUCAGAUGUGCCCUGAUGGGAUUAGCUUGUCGGUGGGGUAACGGCUCACCAAGGCGACGAUCCCUAGCUGGUCUGAGAGGAUGACCAGGCACACUGGAACUGAGACACGGUCCAGACUCCUACGGGAGGCAGCAGUGGGGAAUAUUGCACAAUGGGCGAAAGCCUGAUACAGCCAUGCCGCGUGUAUGAAGAAGGCCUUCGGGUUGUAAAGUACUUUCAGCGGAGAGGCGUUACCCGCAGAAGAAGCACCGGCUAACUCCGUGCCAGCAGCCGCGGUAAUUC